UGGGGAGAGAUUGGAGCAAAGACGACGCAGCCGACCACUCAGGAUUACGUGGAAAGGUUUUGCGUUUGCAAAUUGCCUUUUGGGUUACGUGAGAAGGUUUUUUUGUAUUUGCGAAUUGCCUUUUGUGUAUUAGCACGGAAAGCUUUUGAAAAGGCAACUUAGGCGGGUGAUUUUGGAGAAAUGAGAAUCGAGGUGGAAUUGGUUCGACAAAUCCGUUCCGUGCCAAAUGCCACAGAAGAAGAAGAAAUAGCAAGACAUCGCCACCGCAUUUCCUUCUAGAUGAAUCACCUCACUUUAUGGUUCUCCCGUCUUAAUCAAUGCGUAUAAUUCCUAAUUCCCUUUGCUUUGGUGUUUAGAGUCUUUGGACAGUGACUCCAAUGCUUUCGGUGGUUCUUCUGCAUUUUGGUCUACAAGAAGCGACCCAGUUUCAAGACCCCAUUGGGAAAUAAUUACAGCAGUUUUGAGCUCCCCAAAGGCAAAACUGUGCCUGAUGACCGGAUGGUGGACUCAAUCAGUCACCCUCGGAGUAGGAAUUAAUGACUAGCCAUACCAAUCGUUCGUCCAUCCGUUGGCAGCAGAAUCAUGCACGCUCCGUUGCAGUGGGUCUAUUACGGCGUAGUAGGAAAUUUCUGAAUCUGUGUAAUUACUGUUGAAAGGAAUUACCUGUGGUAGCAAUUGCUUUUCGGAUAAACCUGUGAAAUUACCUUA